AGAGUUUGAUCAUGGCUCAGAUUGAACGCUGGCGGAAUGCUUUACACAUGCAAGUCGAACGGCAGCACGGGGCAACCUGGUGGCGAGUGGCGAACGGGUGAGUAAUACAUCGGAACGUGCCCAAUCGUGGGGAUAACGUAGCGAAAGUUACGCUAAUACCGCAUACGAUCUACGGAUGAAAGCGGGGGAUCGCAAGACCUCGCGCGAAUGGAGCGGCCGAUGUCAGAUUAGGUAGUUGGUGGGGUAAAGGCUCACCAAGCCAACGAUCUGUAGCUGGUCUGAGAGGACGACCAGCCACACUGGAACUGAGACACGGUCCAGACUCCUACGGGAGGCAGCAGUGGGGAAUUUUGGACAAUGGGCGCAAGCCUGAUCCAGCCAUUCCGCGUGCAGGAUGAAGGCCUUCGGGUUGUAAACUGCUUUUGUACGGAACGAAACGGCGAGCUCUAAUACAGUUUGCUAAUGACGGUACCGUAAGAAUAAGCACCGGCUAACUACGUG
rnacentral:rRNA from 1 species